rnacentral:rRNA from 1 species
CCUACGGGAGGCAGCAGUGGGGAAUAUUGCACAAUGGGCGAAAGCCUGAUGCAGCGACGCCGCGUGAGCGAAGAAGUAUUUCGGUAUGUAAAGCUCUAUCAGCAGGGAAGAUAAUGACGGUACCUGACAAAGA